rnacentral:rRNA from 1 species
GACGAACGCUGGCGGCGUGCUUAACACAUGCAAGUCGAACGGAAAGGCCCCUUUGGGGGUCCUCGAGUGGCGAACGGGUGAGUAACACGUGAGUAACCUGCCCUUGACUUCGGGAUAACUUCAGGAAACUGGGGCUAAUACCGGAUAGGAAUCCUUGCUGCAUGGUGGGGGUUGGAAAGCUUCGGCGGUUUUGGAUGGACUCGCGGCUUAUCAGCUUGUUGGUGGGGUAGUGGCUUACCAAGGCUUUGACGGGUAGCCGGCCUGAGAGGGCGACCGGCCACAUUGGGACUGAGAUACGGCCCAGACUCCUACGGGAGGCAGCAGUGGGGAAUAUUGCACAAUGGGCGGAAGCCUGAUGCAGCAACGCCGCGUGCGGGAUGACGGCUUUCGGGUUGUAAACCGCUUUCAGCAGGGGCGAAGCUUGUGGUGACGGUACCUGCAGAAGAAGCACCGGCUAACUACGUG